AAGACUAUACUUUAAGGGAUCACUUCUAUAGUUUGUAACUAGUGAAAUGUGCUCGAAAGUGUAAAACAAAGGAU
rnacentral:snoRNA from 1 species